rnacentral:rRNA from 1 species
UACGGAGGAUGCAAGCGUUAUCCGGAUUGAUUGGGCGUAAAGCGUCUGUAGGUGGUUACGCUAGUCGGCUGUUAAAGAUCAGGGCUGAACCCUGAGCAAGCAGUCGAAACUGCGUGGCUGGAGUACGGUAGGGGCAGAGGGAAUUCCCGGUGUAGCGGGUGAAAUGCGUAGAUAUCGGGAAGAACACCAAAGGCGAAAGCGCUACUGCUGGGCCGA